UUGACCUCGGAUCAGGUAGGGAUACCCGCUGAACUUAAGCAUAUCAAUAAGCGGAGGAAAAGAAACCAACAGGGAUUGCCCUAGUAACGGCGAGUGAAGCGGCAACAGCUCAAAUUUGAAAGCUAGCCUUCGGGUUCGCAUUGUAAUUUGUAGAGGAUACUUUGGGUAAAACGCCAGUCUAAGUUCCUUGGAACAGGACGUCAUAGAGGGUGAGAAUCCCGUAUGUGACUGGAAACGUUGACCUAUGUAAAGUUCCUUCGACGAGUCGAGUUGUUUGGGAAUGCAGCUCUAAAUGGGAGGUAAAUUUCUUCUAAAGCUAAAUAUUGGCGAGAGACCGAUAGCGCACAAGUAGAGUGAUCGAAAGAUGAAAAGCACUUUGGAAAGAGAGUUAAAAAGCACGUGAAAUUGUUGAAAGGGAAGCGCUUGCAAUCAGACUUGUUUAAACUGUUCGGCCGGUCUUCUGACCGGUUUACUCAGUUUGGACAGGCCAGCAUCAGUUUCGGCGGCCGGAUAAAGGCUCUGGGAAUGUGGCCUCCACUUCGGUGGAGGUGUUAUAGCCCAGUGUGUAAUACGGCCAGCCGGGACUGAGGUCCGCGCUUCGGCUAG
rnacentral:rRNA from 1 species